CCUACGGGCGGCAGCAGUGGGGAAUAUUGCGCAAUGGGCGAAAGCCUGACGCAGCGACGCCGCGUGAGGGAUGAAGGUCUUCGGAUCGUAAACCUCUGUCAGCAGGGAAGAACGGUCACUGUGCUAAUCAGCAGUGAAUUGACGGUACCUGCAAAGGAAGCACCGGCUAACUCCGUGCCAGCAGCCGCGGUAAUACGGAGGGUGCGAGCGUUAAUCGGAAUUACUGGGCGUAAAGCGCUCGUAGGCGGUAUGUCAAGUCAAGGGUGAAAUCCCCGCGCUCAACGUGGGAACUGCCUUUGAAACUGGCAAACUGGAGUGUGUGAGAGGAUAGUGGAAUUCCAGGUGUAGGAGUGAAAUGCGUAGAUAUCUGGAAGAACAUCAGUGGCGAAGGCGACUAUCUGGCACAUAACUGACGCUGAGGAGCGAAAGCGUGGGUAGCAAACAGGAUUAGAUACCCGGGUAGUC
rnacentral:rRNA from 1 species